rnacentral:lncRNA from 1 species
CACGGAAGGUGCUGCUGGCCCACAGCUGCGAGCGUCUCCUCUGUGCCGAACAGCAGCGCGGCUGGGGACAAACGUCCGAAUCACUCCGUCUUUGUGUGAGGAAUGUUUAGGUGGUGCUACACCGUCCUCUAGCAGUGACGCUGCUGUGCAGAGCCCUGAGGCCAGCCUGAAUUGUGUCUCUCAUCCAUGGCUGGCUAUGCUUGCUUGGCCGCCCAGGACAGAGAUUCUUCAUUUGGGAGGUUCAGCGUCACCACUGGGGAGCGUGACAGCCAGACUUCCAGCAAUCAGAGGACUUUCUCUGGCAGCCAAAGUCAGCUCUGCCCACAGCAAGCAAAGAG